UACAGAGGAGCCAAGCGUUGUUCGGAAUUACUGGGCGUAAAGGGCUCGUAGGCGGCCAACUAAGUCGGAUGUGAAAUCCCCAGGCUUAACCUGGGAACUGCAUCCGAUACUGGAUGGCUUGAAUCCGGGAGAGGGAUGCAGAAUUCCAGGUGUAGCGGUGAAAUGCGUAGAUAUCUGGAGGAAUACCGGUGGCGAAGGCGGCAUCCUGGACCAACACUGACACUGAGGAGCGAAAGCCAGGGGAGCAAACGGG
rnacentral:rRNA from 1 species